AUCCACGGCGGCCGUCGCUACGACUGAGUGAACGGUACACACCGCCCGUCAAGCCACGAAAGGGAGGGGCAUCCGAAGUCGCCACACCAGCUGUGCCGAAGAUGAAACUCCUGAUCGGGACUAAGUCGUAACAAGGUAACCGUAGGUGAACCUGCAGAAGGAUCA
rnacentral:rRNA from 1 species